rnacentral:rRNA from 1 species
UACGUAGGUGACCAGCGUUGUCCGGAUUUACUGGGCGUAAAGAGCGCGCAGGCGGUCGUUCAAGUCGAGUGUGAAAGCCCCCGGCUCAACUGGGGAGGGUCACUCGAUACUGAUCGACUUGAAGGCAGGAGAGGGGAAGCGGAAUUCCCGGUGUAGUGGUGAAAUGCGUAGAUAUCGGGAGGAACACCAGUGGCGAAGGCGACUACCUGGCCUGUUUCUUGACGCUGAGGCGCGAAAGCUAGGGGAGCAAACGGGGAUUGAA